GUAACACUUAGUAUCACAUACUUUGUGUCAAAGUAUGCAUGUUGAAGCUCUGAGUUGGAGUAUAAGGGUAGGUUAGCGUAGACCAAGUGUUCCAGUGUUAGGAACGCAAAAGACUCAGAAGAAGUUGUCUGAAUUCCCUCUUCUUUAAAUAUUUGUCGAAUGGCUUGUGUGACAAAAGAUCUCAAGCGGUUGAAAGUCAAAACAUUUGUAAUUUGUAUACCUUCUUAUAAUAGCAUUUCCUUCAGUACCUAGUUCUCAACUUUGAAAGAGUGAGGCUUGGCCCCAUAGUCAUAAUAGUCGACGGUACGUUCACCUCUGGUUGUCUUGAUACGAAUUUUUAUCCCUCUUGUUGUAAUGGGCUUGCUGAAAGUAAAAAUCAUUCCUCUUACCAAGAGACAUAUACGUUUGGUGACUUAGCGAGUAGCUAAAUGAGGUAGGAGAUAAUGCAAUGGGUGUAUGAAUGGCCAAGAUCUCCUCACUUGGUAGAACUUGACUUCCACUUCCCACUUGUUGAUAGGGGUUAACCAUAUGGGGGUUUCCUUGGUAUGUCCUUACUUCGGCCGAGACGUGGUUGUAAGCAUGUGCCAUCACCUCAGAGUAAGUCUUCCAAGUGUUGGCAUUGAUCAUGUACUUGAAGAAACAAUCACGUAGGCCUGCCAUGAAGGCCUUGAGGGCGGUCUUAUCAUCUGCCUCAGCGCAGCGAGAAU
rnacentral:lncRNA from 1 species